rnacentral:rRNA from 1 species
CAGAGAUGGAUCUCUUCCAGCAAUGGACCUGCACACAGGUGCUGCAUGGCUGUCGUCAGCUCGUGUCGUGAGAUGUUGGGUUAAGUCCCGCAACGAGCGCAACCCUCGCCUUUAGUUGCCAUCAUUCAGUUGGGCACUCUAAAGGGACUGCCGGUGAUAAGCCGCGAGGAAGGUGGGGAUGACGUCAAGUCCUCAUGGCCCUUACGGGCUGGGCUACACACGUGCUACAAUGGCGGUGACAGUGGGAUGCAAAGGGGCGACCCCUCGCAAAUCUCAAAAAGCCGUCUCAGUUCGGAUUGUACUCUGCAACUCGAGUGCAUGAAGUUGGAAUCGCUAGUAAUCGUGGAUCAGCAUGCCACGGUGAAUACGUUCCCGGGCCUU